GGUUCCUUGGAUGGGUCUGGUGCCUCAAGUGCAGGGAGCCAGAGAAGCCUUUGUCCAAAGUCCAGACUGGGGGACUGGGAAUACAAUCACCUCUGAUGGCUGAGCCAGGUCUCCCCAGAUUAUAAAGAUGACUCCCACCAAGCCAGCAAAUCUUGCAUCUCUGGCAACCCGGCUAUGCUCGAACUGAAAAACAGCAUCGGGAGUUCACGCAUCCGU
rnacentral:lncRNA from 1 species